rnacentral:rRNA from 1 species
UUUAAAUUGAGAGUUUGAUCCUGGCUCAGGAUGAACGCUGGUGGCGUGCCUAAUACAUGCAAGUCGUACGCUAGCCGCUGAAUUGAUCCUUCGGGUGAAGUGAGGCAAUGACUAGAGUGGCGAACUGGUGAGUAACACGUAAGAAACCUGCCCUUUAGUGGGGGAUAACAUUUGGAAACAGAUGCUAAUACCGCGUAACAACAAAUCACACAUGUGAUCUGUUUGAAAGGUCCUUUUGGAUCGCUAGAGGAUGGUCUUGCGGCGUAUUAGCUUGUUGGUAGGGUAGAAGCCUACCAAGGCAAUGA